UCCCUGGUGGCUCAGAGGUUAAAGCAUCUGCCCAUGAUGCGGGAGACUCAGGUUCAAUCCCUGGGUAGGGAA
rnacentral:tRNA from 1 species